AUUGAACGCUGGCGGCAUGCCUUACACAUGCAAGUCGAACGGCAGCACGGGUGCUUGCCCCUGGUGGCGAGUGGCGAACGGGUGAGUAAUACAUCGGAACAUGUCCUGUAGUGGGGGAUAGCCCGGCGAAAGCCGGAUUAAUACCGCAUACGAUCUACGGAUGAAAGCGGGGGACCUUCUGGCCUCGCGCUAUAGGGUCGGCCGAUGGCUGAUUAGCUAGUUGGUGGGGUAAAGGCCUACCAAGGCGACGAUCAGUAGCUGGUCUGAGAGGACGACCAGCCACACUGGAACUGAGACACGGCCCAGACUCCUACGGGAGGCAGCAGUGGGGAAUUUUGGACAAUGGGCGAAAGCCUGAUCCAGCAAUGCCGCGUGUGUGAAGAAGGCCUUCGGGUUGUAAAGCACUUUUGUCCGGAAAGAAAACCUUGGCCCUAAUACGGUCGGGGGAUGACGGUACCGGAAGAAUAAGCACCGGCUAACUACGUG
rnacentral:rRNA from 1 species